AGCAGCGUGGCUCAGUGGAAAGAGCCCGGGCUUGGGAAUCGGUGGUCAUGGGUUCGAAUCCCGGCUCUGCCA
rnacentral:tRNA from 1 species